rnacentral:lncRNA from 1 species
AUGGUCAACACCGAUCAGACUGAUUAUAUUCUUUGCAGCCAAAGAUGGAGAAGCUCUAUACAGUCAACAAAAACAAGACCAGGAGCUGACUGUGGCUCAGAUCAUGAAGUCCUUAUUGCCAAAUUCAGACUUAAAUUGAAGAAAGUAGGGAGAACCACUCGACCAAUCAAGUAUGACCUAAAUCAAAUCCCUUAUGAUUAUACAGUGGAAGUUAGAAAUAGAUUUAAGGGCCUAGAUCUGAUAGAUAGAGUGCCUGAUGAACUAUGGAAUGAGGUUCGUGACAUUGUACAGGAGACAGGGAUCAAAAUCAUCCACAUGGAAAAGAAAUGCAAAAAAGCAAAAUGGCUGUCUGGGGAGGCCUUACAAAUAGCUGUGAAAAGAAGAGAAGUGAAAAGCAAAGGAGAAAAGGAAAGAUACAAGCAUCUGAAUGCAGAGUUCCAAAGAAUAGCAAGGAGAGAUAGGAAAGCCUUCCUCAGCGAUCAAUGCAAAGAAAUAGAGGAAAAGAACAGAAUGGGAAAGACUAGAGAUCUCUUCAAGAAAAUUAGAGAUACCAAGGGAACAUUUCAUGCGAAGAUGGGCUUGACAAAGGACAGAAAUGGUAUGGACCUAACAGAAGCAGAAGAUAUUAAAAAGAGGUGGCAAGAAUACACAGAAGAACUGUACAAAAAAGAUAUUCAUGACCCAGAUAAUCAUGAUGAUGUGAUCACUCAUCUAGAGCCAGACAUCCUGGAAUGUGAAGUCAAGUGGGCCUUAGAAAGCAUCACUAGGAACAAAGCUAGUGGAGGUGAUGGAGUUCCAGUUGAGCUAUUUGAAAUCCUGAAAGAUGAUGCUGUGAAAGUGCUGCACUCAAUAUGCCAGCAAAUUUGGAAAACUCAGCAGUGGCCACAGGACUGGAAAAGGUCAGUUUUCAUUCCAAUCCCAAAGAAAGGCAAUGCCAAAGAAUGCUCAAACUACCGCACAGUUGCACUCAUCUCACAUGCUAGUAAAGUAAUGCUCAAAAUUCUCCAAGCCAGGCUUCAGCAAUACGUGAACCAUGAACUUCCUGAUGUUCAAGCUGGUUUUAGAAAAGGCAGAGGAACCAGAGAUCAAAUUGCCAACAUCUGCUGGAUCAUCGCAAAAGCAAGAGAGUUCCAGAAAAACCAGAGUUCCAGUAGUUCUUUCAUCUACUUCUGCUUUAUUGACUAUGCCAAACCCUUUGACUGUGUGGAUCACAAUAAACUGUGGGAAAUUCUGAGAGUGAUGGGAAUACCAGACCACCUGAUCUGCCUCUUGAGAAAUUUGUAUGCAGGUCAGGAAGCAACAGUUAGAACUGGACAUGGAACAACAGACUGGUUCCAAAUAGGAAAAGGAGUAUGUCAAGGCUGUAUAUUGUCACCCUGCUUAUUUAACUUCUAUGCAGAGUAUAUCAUGAGAAACACUGGGCUGGAAGAAGCACAAGCUGGAAUCAAGAUUGCCAGGAGAAACAUCAAUAACCUCAGAUAUGCAGAUGAUACCACCCUUAUGGCAGAAAGUGAAGAGGAACUAAAAAGCCUCUUGAUGAAAGUGAAAGAGGAGAGUGAAAAAGUUGGCUUAAAGCUCAACAUUCAGAUAAUGAAGAUCAUGGCAUCUGGUCCCAUCACUUCAUGGGAAAUAGAUAGGGAAACAGUGGAAACAGUGUCAGACUUUAUUUUUGGGGGCUCCAGAAUCACUGCAGAUGGUGAUUACAGCCAUGAAAUUAAAAGACACUUACUCCUUGGAAGGAAAGUUAUGACCAACCUAGAUAGCAUAUUCAAAAGCAGAGACAUUACUUUGCCAACAAAGGCCCAUCUAGUCAAGGCUAUGGUUUUUCCUGUGGUCAUGUAUGGAUGUGAAAGCUGGACUGUGAAGAAAGCUGAGUGCCAAAGAGUUGAUGCUUUUGAAUUACGGUGUUGGAGAAGACUCUUGAGAGUCCCUUGGACUGCAAGGAGAUCCAACCAGUCCAUCCUAAAGGAGAUCAACCCUGGGAUUUCUUUGGAAGGACUGAUGCUAAAGCUGAAACUCCAGUACUUUGGCCACCACAUGAGAAGAGUUGACUCAUUGGAAAAGACUCUGAUGCUGGGAGGGAUUGGGGGCAGGAGGAGAAGGGGACAACAGAGGAUGAGGUGGCUGGAUGGCAUCACGGACUCGAUGGACGUGAGUCUGAGUGAACUCCGGGAGAUGGUGAUAGACAGGGAGGCCUGGUGUGCUGCGAUUCAUGGGGUCGCAAAGAGUUGGACACGACUGAGUGAGUGA